CAAUAGCGUAUAUUAAAGCUGUUGCGGUUAAAAAGCUCGUAGUUGGAUUUCUGUCAAGGACAACUGGUCCGCCCUCCGGGUGAGCACAUAGUUUGGUCUUGGCAUCUUGCUGGAAACUGUUGCUGCGCUUGGUUGUGUGGUGCAGCUUUCAGCACUUUCACUUUGAGGAAAUUGGAGUGUUUCAAGCAGGCACAUGCCUUUGGACACAGUAGCAUGGAAUAAUUAGAUUGGGCUUUUGCUCCAACUUGUUGGUUCCUGGAGCUGAGGUGAGAAUCAAUGGGGAUUGUUGGGGGCAUCCGAAUUUAGCCGUCAGAGGUGAAAUUCUUGGAUCUGCUAAAGACGGACAACUGCGAAAGCGUUUGCCCAGGAUGUUUUCGUUGA
rnacentral:rRNA from 1 species